UUUACUUUGAAAAAAUUGGAGUGCUCAAAUCAGGCCCACUGCCUGAACAGAUAUGCAUGGAAUAAUGGAAAAGGACUUCGGUUCUAUUUUGUUGGUUUUCGGAACAUGAACUAAUGAUUAAGAGGGACAGACGGGGGCAUUCGUAUUGCGGUGGGAGAGGUGAAAUUCUUAGAUCAUCGCAAGACGGCCAACAGCGAAAGCAUUUGCCAAGAAUGUUUCCAUUAAUCAAGAACGAAAGUCAGAGGUUCGAAGACGAUCAGAUACCGUCCUAGUUCUGACCAUAAACGACUGCAACCGCGAAUCCGUUGCGAUUGCAAGUUCGAUCCAACGGGCAGCCUCCGGGAAACCAAAGUCUUUAUGUUCCGGGGGAAGUAUGGUUGCAAAGCUGAAACUUAAAGGAAUUGACGGAAAGGCACCACAAGGAGUGAGCUGGCCUUAAUUUGACUCAACACGGGAAAACUCACCCGGCCCGACACUGGGAUGAUUGACAGAUUGAAAGCUCUUUCUUGAUUCGGUGGGUGGUGGUGUCAUGGCGUUCUUAGUUGGUGGAGCGAUUUGUCUGGUUAAUUCCGAUAACGAACGAGACUCUAGCCUACUAAAUAGUACACCUAUCCAUUCGAGUAGGUGCCGAUUCUUAGGGGGACAAAGUGGCAUUCAAGCCAUACGAAAUUGACGAAUAACAGGUCUGUGAUUGCCCUUAGAUGACCGGGGGACGCGCGCUACACUGAAUAGCGUAACGAGUUUCUCUCCUGGUCCGAAAGGGCCGGGAACCUGAUGAAACCUAUUCGUGACAGGGAUCGGGGCUUGUAAUUAUUCCCCGUGAACGAGGAACGAGGAAUUCCUAGUAAGCAA
rnacentral:rRNA from 1 species